UUUUUUUUUUUUUUUUUUUUUUUUUUUUUUUUUUUUUUUCUUC
rnacentral:ribozyme from 1 species